rnacentral:rRNA from 1 species
GAUACCCCAGGUCAGGCGGGGCCACCCGCCGAGUUU